UGUAUGGAAGUGCAGUGUCAAGGGUUUAAGCAUUCCCCCUUCGUGUUCCAUGGAAGGGUUUUAGUUUUCCACUUGUUUUUCCUCUCUCUAAAACAAGAAAUGGUCUUCUCUCACCUUCUCCUCAGGCGCCUAAAAUGCCACCCAAUUGCAAAACCUCAACCUUUCGUCGUCUACAAAAUUCCCCAAAACCCCUUAUCUUCCCUCCCCAGCACGGAUUCCGCACAAUCCAAUCCCACCCCUGCCGCCGAGCAACCCACCUCCUUGUCAGCUCGGAUGAGCUUCGUCUUCGAACAAAUUGAUGCCAUCGAUAAACAACGGACCGAAAAGGACCAAACCUUGCAGCGCAUCCGCGCUUGGCGCGAAUCCAAGAGGCAAAACCCCACUGAGUCAAUCCGGGAUUCAUCCAAGGCUGAUUCAGAAGAGGAACUUCAGUCUGGAUUCGUACAAGAGAUUAAGGAUGAGAAUCGUAGUGAAGGGUUGUUAGCGAAUGUGAAACGGGAGGUGGAGUUGGUGCACCCGUGGCCGGAGUGGAUAGAGCUGAUGGAGAGGCUGGUGCAGCAGAAUUAUUUCGAUCACAGGAGGAAAGAUGAAGAUGGUAUGAUGGAAAAGCUAGGUUUCGAUGUAUCUGAAGCUGCUGAGGACAAAGUAGCUGAUUUUACCCGGGAUUUUAAGAGUGUACAAACUGCGGUCCUCAAUUUCGGCAAAGACCGCUUUGAUAUUUUGAGGUCAUUGUCAAGACAGGAUAUCCAAAUAUUGGUUGGUUAUGGAUGCCCUAGUACAGACAAAAGGGUGGUUUUUUCUGCAAAAUUGUUGAGGAAGCAUGUGCAUUUGGAUGAAGGAGAUGUCUGCAGUUCCUGCAGUUUGAGGAGUUCUUGUGAAAAAGCAUAUCUUCUAACAAAUAAAGAGGAUGAACCAAGGACUAUUGAUGUCAUGCGAGUCCUACUGUCUUAUGGUUUUGAUCCAGUGAAUGGAUCAGUCAGUAAUAUGUCCCUUUUGAAAAUGAAAUCUGUUAAGACUGUUGUCCGUAAGUUGAUCCAUGAGGUAGUCAAGUUAGGUUCAGUUCCUAUAGAUCCAAGUCUUCCUUCACCUGUUAUUAAGAAGCCUCCGCCGAAGGUGAAGCAACCACCUCCCCCUCCAAAGAAACGAGUCGGACGUGAUGACAUUGAAAUGAAGAAGGGCGAUUGGCUUUGUCCAAAGUGCGACUUUAUGAACUUUGCAAAAAAUACUGUGUGCCUGCAAUGUGACGCCAAGCGCCCUAAAAGACAGUUGCUUCCAGGGGAAUGGGAGUGCCCCCAGUGCAAUUUCUUGAACUAUAGGAGAAACACAGUAUGUUUUCAUUGUGAGCACAAUCGCCCAGCUGAUACAUAUACAGAGCCCCAAUUUCCGGAAAAGCGACAUGGUAACAGGUUGAGGGCGGAAAAGAUCUCUAGCACGGAAGAGGUUUCUAAUGCAUGGAAUUUUGAUUUUGAUGACAACGAAUCGGAUGGAGCAGAUGUAGCUUCAUUUGAAUAUGCAGAUUCUAAGAUACCAGGUGAUGAUUUUCCGUUAAGUCAGCAAGCCAUUGGUGAAAUUUCUAAAGGAGAUGAAGAUGGUUUCUACAAAAGCAGCAGGCCUCCAAGGAUGAAUGAACCAGAGUAUUCUGAUAAACCUAGAACAGGAUUCAACGAUUUUGAUGAAGAAGAUGAUAUUGACAAUUACGAGUUAGAUACUCGAAAUGAGGUAUCGAAGACUUCUCGAAUAGGUUUCUCUGAACUUGAAUCUGACUCUGGAUCUGAAGAUAUAGAAAGUAAUGACCGGAAUUGGAAUGCUCGUGAUAGAACUAGUUCUCGGACGCACAGCAAGAAACCAUCACAUCAUAAAGAGUCAUUCUCUGGUUCUGAGGAUGCUGAAGUAGACUUUGAUUCUGGUGACGACCUUCCAGUUCAUCCGAAUUGGAAAUCAACCCAUGUUGCAAAUUUUAAACAGAGAACUAGAGAUAGACGUCCCCUAAGUUUUGGUUCAGACGAUGACCUUGGGUACAGUUCUGGCAGUGAUGAAACUUUUAGAUCCAGGCAAAAUGAAGGGAGAGGACGGGGUUCUAACAGAAUUGCAUUCAAGAAACGAGGAAGAUCUAAUAUUGGAGCUGGACCUUUCUCAGAAUCUGAUGAUGACCUAGGUUAUCGCAGAGAUGAACGAAAAGGUAAAAAUGCAGGACUGAAUCGCCGAGGAAAAUCUUCAACUGGCCGUGGGGGUAUGAUGGGUUAUCGGAAAAACUCUCCGAGGGAUGAUAUGGACAGAUCUUCCCAAGGUCCCCGCUAUGAUAGAGGUACUCGAGAGAAUGGUUAUGAGCAAGGAAGGAAUGCUAGAGAUAGUGGCUCGCCAAAGUUCCGAAGCCCGAGACGAGGAGGGUCAUUUAAUAAUCAAGGAGGAAGAUCUGAUAGUUUUGAUAAUCGAUCGGACAGUUAUCUGGACGAUGAGAGAUACCGGAGGCCAAGGGUAAACGUACGAUGAAUGUAGCAUUGUCUACGAACAAAGUCCUCAUGAGGGAAGCAGGCUGCUGAUACUCUCGGGGAACAACUUGCUCAUUUUCAUCUGAUGCAAAUUAACAAGACUUUUGCUUGAGAAGACGAUGACUUUCCAAGAAAUUGGGCUCGAAAUAAAACCCAGAGGAAGUCGUCAUAGUAAUUACCAUGGAGAAUGGUAGUAUUUGGAUGUUCGAUCUCCAAAUCCUCGAUGGCUGCUGCGAAUGCUCGUUAUGAUAGAUUGAGGAGCAUAAUGCCAAUAAAAAAACAGUGGAGAUUAAAAUUGCAGGAGGCGCUAUAGAUUGAGGACUGCAGCUGCAAUUUCCCUUAAUUGCACAAAUUAAGGAACAUCUUAUACAAUUAACUAAUCGAUUAUUAUUUCAAAUUGUGAAUGUUUUGCUUAUGAGUAAUCCCAUUCUCUUCUUGUAAUACAAUGAACACAAGAAAUUGUAAAUUCCAUAUUCGACUAA